CCUACGGGUGACAGCAGUCGAGAAUCAUUCACAAUGGGGGAAACCCUGAUGGUGCGACGCCGCGUGGGGGAAUGAAGGUCUUCGGAUUGUAAACCCCUGUCAUGUGGGAGCAAAUUAAAAAGAUAGUACCACAAGAGGAAGAGACGGCUAACUCUGUGCCAGCAGCCGCGGUAAUACAGAGGUCUCGAGCGUUGUUCGGAAUCACUGGGCGUAAGGCGUGCGUAGGCUGUUUCGUAAGUCGUGUGUGAAAGGCGCGGGCUCAACCCGCGGACGGCACAUGAUACUGCGAGACUAGAGUAAUGGAGGGGGAACCGGAAUUCUCGGUGUAGCAGUGAAAUGCGUAGAUAUCGAGAGGAACACUCGUGGCGAAGGCGGGUUCCUGGACAUUAACUGACGCUGAGGCACGAAGGCCAGGGGAGCGAAAGGGAUUAGAUACCCGAGUAGUC
rnacentral:rRNA from 1 species